UACGGAGGGGGCUAGCGUUGUUCGGAAUUACUGGGCGUAAAGCGCACGUAGGCGGCUUUGUAAGUUAGAGGUGAAAGCCCAGGGCUCAACCCUGGAAUUGCCUUUAAGACUGCAUCGCUAGAAUUGUGGAGAGGUAAGUGGAAUUCCGAGUGUAGAGGUGAAAUUCGUAGAUAUUGGGAGGAACACCGGUGGCGAAGGCGGCUAUCUGGACCGGUACUGACGCUGAUACGCGAAAGCCAGGGGAGCAAACGGG
rnacentral:rRNA from 1 species